AUUGAACGCUGGCGGCAGGCCUAACACAUGCAAGUCGAACGAGUGGCGGACGGGUGAGUAAUGUCUGGGAAACUGCCUGAUGGAGGGGGAUAACUACUGGAAACGGUAGCUAAUACCGCAUACCAUCGGAUGUGCCCAGAUGGGAUUAGCUAGUAGGUGGGGUAAAGGCUCACCUAGGCGACGAUCCCUAGCUGGUCUGAGAGGAUGACCAGCCACACCGGAACUGAGAAACGGUGCAGACCCCUAAGGGAGGCAGCAGUGGGGAAUAUUGAAAAAGUGGCGGAAGCCUGAUGUCACCAUGCCGCGGUUAUGAAGAAGGCCUUCGGGUUGUAAAGUACUUUCAGCGGGGAGGCGUUACCCGCAGAAGAAGCACCGGCUAACUCCGUGCCAGCAGCCGCGGUAAUUC
rnacentral:rRNA from 1 species